CAUAGCAAAUGAUAUGAGCUAAUGGCUGCAUCCCCCUAGUAUAGUUUAGCAUAAAUACAGUAUUUAUAAUUAGUAAUUAGUAAUAGUUGUGAAUUUAAAAUAAUUUCUUUAAUAAAAAUCGCUAGUUUCAAGUCGGUACUUCAGUUCAUGUACAUCAACCAUGUUUGCACAGAAUAGUUCAUGCAGUACCCGCUGUGUGGCACCAGGGAUUAAAAUAUUAAGUUCUACCCAAAGAUUUCAAACUUAAUAUUUAGAAUAUUCAGGAUUUAAAUAUUAAGUUAACUCAGACUUGUUUAAAAGUUUCUCCAAAAUUAAAUAAACAAUUUAAAAUUUAUUAUGUCUCCUGUUUUUUGUAAUUAUUAAGUCAUUAAAAUGACAGGAAUAUUAAGGUCAAGGAUUUGUUUUUUUCUGGUGAAUCCCCGGAGGCGCCAAGAUUUGGAAAUAAAAUGGCUGACAUAGGAUUUUAGGGGACGCGUUAAUAAAUUGAUUCGUCGGUUUAAAUCGACCAAGUUUGAAGCCGGUUUCGCGUAUAUAUUCCUACUUUUUGCUAUGGUUUCACUAUUGACAUUCUUUAUUUACUGACCCGACGCAAUAUCCUCGUUCGAACGAAAAAGGAACAGAACGUUCACGGACUGUUGGAGGUCCAAGUCAGAAACCAGUCAAUGUCAUCGGGAUUCGCACACAGACGGUCCCUUGUUCGUGAAACGGGAGAGGAUUCCACGAAGCGUCGUUUGUCGGGUGACUCAACUGUUGUGACUGGUGUUUCAAAGUGCCGAAAGAAAGGGAAAGUACAUCUGGGACAUCGAAGCAUGGGAGACCAAGCGCUCAGUUCACGGAACGCUCGCGAGAAACGCGUUAUCGACGCCGGUUUAUCGCACGUUUAAACAAAUAAGAUAAAAAAAGGAUUCGUACUAUCAGAGUGUGCGGGGGUCUCCUAACAACGUGACACAGGAUAUUGCCAGGUCGAAAGUUUUCUGAGAUAUGUGCAAAGUUUCUAGGACCGCCAGUGACCUGGACAAAGACCUCCACUAGGAAGAUACACUCGAGGCUCGAGAUCUCGUCGAAAACGCGUUAAAUCGUCAGUGUUGCUAUAGACAAUGGUGAAUUGCACAAUAGCCAGAGACAAACCGGAGGCUCCGUCGUUGUGCAACUAGCGUCUUUUGCAACGAGGGAACAUGAUCGGAAUUAUGGAUUCUUUUUAUCAAACUACGAGCCUCCUGCGUGCCUGAUUCACGAUGCUGGAUCCUAUUCUAGGAAUAUCCUCGGUAUGGUGGCUGGUGAUCUACGCCAACAUCCUGCUGCUCUUGUCGCCCCUCGUGCUGCUUCUCAUCAUUUUCCUGCCGAAUUUCCCGAUAUUACUGUUCAGAAGAAUGUGUUACAUCCCUAUCGAGUCUAUAUGACACUCAUUUCCCACCAUAAUUGAAUUGUAAAACGCUAGGCUCCUCGUAGAUCGAGUAAUUUCAAUUAUAUUCUUGAUUGUAUACGACGACGUUGAAAUGUACGGUUUCAAAGCAUCGAUUUACACUUUGCAAGGUUAUAGAUAAGACAAGUAUAGGCAUAGGUAUUAUUAUUUCAGUAAUUGCACGUCGCAGGCUUGUAUUGUUAUUGUUGUGGGAAUCACAGUUCUGAAGCAUUUAGUGUAACUUCAGGAAGUAUUAUUACAAGUAAUUUCAGUAUUUGCGCUGUUGAACCGCCCUGUGGUAUCUUAUAUCUUCUAUGAUACAUUCAUUUUAUGUUUAAAACUCUUCUCGAAAUAUUGCUAUGUAUAUUGGCAAAGCAGCAGCAAAUGUUGAUGUUCCUCUCAUAACAACAACGAAAUUGUAAAUAUUUGGCAAUAGUAAUCCGUAUAAAAUUGUGAUCAAAUGGUUAGAUCUAGCGUUUAGAGUACCCGUAUUUCGUUUAAAGGAAGCACAAUCAAAAAUACUUGUUAAGUCCAUGCAUAUAGGGUAUCCCACUCAAAGCAAACCAUCUGUUGGUUUCUUUAAUUUUUUCUCGAAAACGAGCACGGCGACCUAUGUGUUUAACGACGGCAUUGUGUUCCCCUGCUUUUUUCCUACAGGAUAGCGUGUCGAAAUUUAGCCCCACGAUGAUUUUUCCCGCUGGAGCGAUCGCUCGCGACCGCUUUUCGUUAAUAACUCGAAAACUAGCACGUUAACGCUCAUUUUCGCUUAUAUAAUACUUGUGCAGUUUAACGUUCUCUACCUGAUAGGCUAGUUGUAUUUUUUUUAUCUCGAAUUGUUUUAAAUUUUUUCGUUUAUAACUCAAAAACGAACACGUCAAUUCGAAUUUUUGUACUGUUAAGAGGCUUCUCGAGCGUUAAAAAGAACUUGAGAAUAUUAAAUUGCUCAAUAAUAUUUCAUCUAAGUCACUCAAUGGAUCGUGAUAUUUCAAUAUUAAAAUACAUUUGUUCAUAAGAUUCUGAUUAAAGAAGACUCUAAGAUGGCUCCUUUCGAGCGGGAUACCCUGAAGUACCAAUCUUUGUUUUAAUAUUAAUUAGUAUUAAUUAGUAAUAUCAAUUGCAACAGAAUACAAUGUAUUCUUUGUGCCUGGGACGCGAUGUGGAAUUGUCACAUAAUUUAGCAAAAAUCGGUCGCUCUAGGUAUUUCACGGCGUAGAAAUCGCGGUUUCCGGUCGCGAUUCGACCCUUUGACCGGUCGUUCGCGAUUUCUUCGCCGUCGUUGCCAAGACUCCGCCACUCCUGUCGCACGUCUGUCGCGAAAAGCCGAAUAAACCGAAUAUAACGGGAACGAUGUUUCGCAAAAGAUGCCCCGCGAGCCGUUUGACCGAAAUCCCGACGAACGUAGUCCUCAGAAAUCGUUGGCGUCGA